rnacentral:lncRNA from 1 species
UGUUCCGGCUGCUGGCACGCAGACGCGGUCUCCGGGGUGCGCACUUCCCACCGCCGGUAGAAAGCCGCGACGCACGCGGGUCAAUGGGAAAAGCGCAGGUUGGAAGAACGUCGUG